ACCUGGUUGAUCCUGCCAGUAGUCAUAUGCUUGUCUCAAAGAUUAAGCCAUGCAUGUCUAAGUAUAAGCAACUCGUACUUGUGAAACUGCGAAUGGCUCAUUAAAUCAGUUACAAUUUAUUUGAUGGUACCUUACUACUUGGAUAACCGUAGUAACAUAGAGCUAAUACAUGCCAAUAAGACCCGACUUUAGUGAAGGGUUGUAUUUAUUAGAUUACAAACCAAUAUCCCUCGGGAUUUCCUGGUGAUUCAUAAUAACUUUUCGGACCGCAUGCCUUCGGGCGGCGGCGCUUCAUUCAAAUUUCUGCCCUAUCAACUUUCGAUGGUAGUAUAGAGGACUACCAUGGUUAUAACGGGUAACGGAGAAUUAGGGUUUGAUUCCGGAG
rnacentral:rRNA from 1 species